rnacentral:rRNA from 1 species
AUACGUAGGGAGCGAGCGUUACCCGGAAUUACUGGGCGUAAAGUGCGCGUAGGCGGCUUGGUAAGUCCCUUUUGAAAGCUCCCGGCUUAACUGGGAGAGGUGAGGGGAAACUACUUGGCUUGAGGACAGCAGAGGAAAGCGGAAUUCCCGGUGUGGCGGUGAAAUGCGUAGAUAUCGGGAGGAACACCAGUGGCGAAGGCGGCUUUCUGGGCUGCACCUGACGCUGAGGCGCGAGAGCGUGGGGAGCAAACAGGAUUAGAUACCCCAGUAGUCC